rnacentral:lncRNA from 1 species
UCAGGGAAUGAUGGAGCUGCGUGAAAUCAGUCGCAGGAAGUGGAGCAGGAUCGUGGUGGUUGCUGUGUUGCGUCAGAAAGUGCGGAUUCAUUGGCUGAAGUUCGGCAGCGGUCGGAGCUGGUGACGGAGCCUGGCUCCCGUAGGAGUCCGGGCGGAGUCCUCCUUGUGAUUGAAGUCGUGGGUGGAGCCCGGCUCCCGUGGGAGUCCGGGCGGAGUCCUCCUGCAAUUAAAGUCAGGUGCGAAGUCCGGCUCCCGUGGGAGUCCGAACGGAGCUUACCGGUAGUUGAAGUUGGCGAUGGAGCCCAGCUCCCGUAGGAGUCCGGGCGGAGUCCUCCUUGUGGUUGAAGUUGUGGGCAGAGCCCGGCUCUCGUAGGAGU